GCCAUCAAGCGCACUGAUUAACCGA
rnacentral:rasiRNA from 1 species